rnacentral:rRNA from 1 species
AGUGAACGCUGGCGGUAGGCCUAACACAUGCAAGUCGAACGGCAGCACAGUAAGAGCUUGCUCUUACGGGUGGCGAGUGGCGGACGGGUGAGGAAUACAUCGGAAUCUACUUUUUCGUGGGGGAUAACGUAGGGAAACUUACGCUAAUACCGCAUACGACCUACGGGUGAAAGCAGGGGAUCUUCGGACCUUGCGCGAUUGAAUGAGCCGAUGUCGGAUUAGCUAGUUGGCGGGGUAAAGGCCCACCAAUGCGACGAUCCGUAGCUGGUCUGAGAGGAUGAUCAGCCACACUGGAACUGAGACACGGUCAAGACUCCUACGGGAGGCAGCAGUGGGGAAUAUUGGACAAUGGGCGCAAGCCUGAUCCAGCCAUACCGCGUGGGUGAAGAAGGCCUUCGGGUUGUAAAGCCCUUUUGUUGGGAAAGAAAAGCAGCAGGUUAAUACCCCGCUGUUCUGACGGUACCCAAAGAAUAAGCACCGGCUAACUUCGUG